rnacentral:tRNA from 1 species
AGGCGUAGUUUAGUGGCAGAACAUCAGCUUCCCAAGCUGAAUGUGUGGGUUCGAUUCCCAUCGCCUG